rnacentral:rRNA from 1 species
UACGUAGGGGCCUAGCGUUGUCCGGAAUUAUUGGGCGUAAAGAGCCCGCAGGCGGCUUGGCAAGUUUGAGGUGAAAUCUCCCGGCUUAACUGGGAGGGGGCCUCGAAAACUGCCAGGCUUGAGGCAUGGAGAGGGAUGCGGAAUUCCCGGUGUAGUGGUGAAAUGCGUAGAUAUCGGGAGGAACACCAGUGGCGAAGGCGGCAUCCUGGCCAUGUCCUGACGCUCAGGGGCGAAAGCGUGGGGAGCAAACCGG